UAGGGAAUCUUCCGCAAUGGACGCAAGUCUGACGGAGCAACGCCGCGUGAGUGAAGAAGGAUUUCGGUUCGUAAAACUCUGUUGUUAGAGAAGAACAGCGCAUAGAGUAACUGUUAUGCGUGUGACGGUAUCUAACCAGAAAGCCACGGCUAACUACGUGCCAGCAGCCGCGGUAAUACGUAGGUGGCAAGCGUUGUCCGGAUUUAUUGGGCGUAAAGCGAGCGCAGGCGGUCAAUUAAGUCUGAUGUGAAAGCCCCCGGCUCAACCGGGGAGGGGCAGUGGAAAAUGGUUGACUUGAGUGCAGAAGAGGAGAGUGGGAUUCCAUGUGUAGCGGUGAAAUGCGUAGAUAUGUGGAGGAACACCAGUGGCGAAGGCGACUCUCUGGUCUGUAACUGACGCUGAGGCUCGAAAGCGUGGGUAGCAAACAGG
rnacentral:rRNA from 1 species